rnacentral:rRNA from 1 species
GACGAACGCUGGCGGCGUGCCUAAUACAUGCAAGUAGAACGCUGAAGGAGGAGCUUGCUUCUCUGGAUGAGUUGCGAACGGGUGAGUAACGCGUAGGUAACCUGCCUGGUAGUGGGGGAUAACUAUUGGAAACGAUAGCUAAUACCGCAUAAUAGCAGUUGUUGCAUGAUAACUGUUUGAAAGGUGCAAUUGCACCGCUACCAGAUGGACCUGCGUUGUAUUAGCUAGUUGGUGGGGUAACGGCUCACCAAGGCGACGAUACAUAGCCGACCUGAGAGGGUGAUCGGCCACACUGGGACUGAGACACGGCCCAGACUCCUACGGGAGGCAGCAGUAGGGAAUCUUCGGCAAUGGACGGAAGUCUGACCGAGCAACGCCGCGUGAGUGAAGAAGGGUUUCGGAUCGUAAAGCUCGGUUGUAAGAGAAGAACGAGUGUGAGAGUGGAAAGUUCACACUGUGACGGUAGCUUACCAGAAAGGGACGGCUAACUACGUG